AUGAAUGAAUUGUGGUGCAAGAAUGUAGCGACUUAUUCAAUACUUCAAAAGUCAAGACUGUGGGGUCUAUAAGCCAAGAGUAUCUGGCUGAUUUUUAAAAUUUUAUACGAAUAAAAUUUUUCCUCUUAUAUAAUUUAGUAAUUAGACUUAUUGGUAGUUUUUGAUAGUUAUUUGCAUGAAUGGAGGGCUUAUCUCCCAUAACCACGUGGAAUUUUAAAUACUGUAGGAGUGAGUGAAUGUAAUGUAUUAGCGUGAAUGUAAUAUCCCAUUACUUCAAGGAAUAAUGAGUAUUCUGUAGUAGUGUGAAUGCUAACCAGACUAUCAUGUUUUAUCUUGUGUAUCCGUGUUAUUUUAUACCUAAUUGACAAUGCCCUAAGGUACAGAGAGGGUAACAGUAGGAUAAAGAGAAACAGGAAAAAAAAUUAGUGGUAUUAAAACACGAUAAAGGUAAUUCACCAGAUUUGGAUCCCAUGAAUGUGCAAAUCCUUCAUCGGCGCAGUAGCUUUUUCCCAUCUUAGGAAUCUCUAUAUUUUCAGAGCUUGUCGCUUUGCGGAUUGUGAAGAUUUCAAGAAGUUCUAUCACGUCCUCUCUUGAGCCAAGGUAUAGUGGACAUGUCCGGUGAA
rnacentral:lncRNA from 1 species